rnacentral:rRNA from 1 species
AUUGAACGCUGGCGGCGUGCUUAACACAUGCAAGUCGAUCGGUAACGCGGGGGCAACCCUGGCGACGAGAGGCGGACGGGUGAGGAACGCUUGGGAAUCUGCCUAUCAGCGGGGGACAACCCGGGGAAACUCGGGCUAAUACCGCAUACGCUCUACGGAGGAAAGCCGGGGACCGCAAGGCCUGGCACUGUUAGAUGAGCCCAAGUCGGAUUAGCUAGUUGGCGGGGUAACGGCCCACCAAGGCGACGAUCCGUAGCUGGUCUGAGAGGACGAUCAGCCACACCGGAACUGAGACACGGUCCGGACUCCUACGGGAGGCAGCAGUGGGGAAUAUUGGACAAUGGGCGAAAGCCUGAUCCAGCGACGCCGCGUGGGUGAAGAAGGCCUGCGGGUUGUAAAGCCCUUUCGGUAGGGACGAAAACUCUCGACUUAAUACGUCGAGGGAUUGACUUAACCUACAUAAGAAGCACCGGCUAACUCUGUGCCAGCCGCCGCGGUAACAC